AAGACCUUGCGUUAUUCGAGCGGCCGACGUCUGAUUAGCUAGUUGGUGGGGUAAAGGCCUACCAAGGCGACGAUCAGUAGCGGGUCUGAGAGGAUGAUCCGCCACACUGGAACUGAGACACGGUCCAGACUCCUACGGGAGGCAGCAGUGGGGAAUUUUGGACAAUGGACGCAAGUCUGAUCCAGCCAUGCCGCGUGAGUGAAGAAGGCCUUCGGGUUGUAAAGCUCUUUCGGCCGGAACGAAAUCGCAUCUUCUAAUACGGGGUGUGGAUGACGGUACCGGAAGAAGAAGCACCGGCUAACUACGUGCCGGCAGCCGCGGUAAUACGUAGGGUGCGAGCGUUAAUCGGAAUUACUGGGCGUAAAGCGUGCGCAGGCGGCUCUUCAAGUCAGAUGUGAAAGCCCCGGGCUUAACCUGGGAACU
rnacentral:rRNA from 1 species